rnacentral:rRNA from 1 species
GGCUCAGAACGAACGUUGGCGGCGUGGAUUAGGCAUGCAAGUCGAACGAAUCCCAACUUUGUAGCAAUACCGAGUUGGGGGAAGUGGCGAAAGGGGCAGUAAUGCGUGGGUAAUCUACCUCGGGGACGUGGAUAGCCAUUCUAACGAGUGGGUAAUACGCGGCGAUUUGGUUGAGGGGCAUCCCUUGGCCAGGAAAUGAAUUUCGCCUCGAGAGGAACUCACGUGAUAUUAGCUUGUUGGCGGGGUAACGGCCCACCAAGGCAAAGAUGUCUAGCGGGUGUGAGAGCACGACCCGCGCCACUGGCACUGAGACACUGGCCAGACACCUACGGGUGGCUGCAGUCGAGGAUCUUCGGCAAUGGGCGCAAGCCUGACCGAGCGACGCCGCGUGCGCGAUGAAGGCCUUCGGGUUGUAAAGCGCUGUCGAGGGGGAGGAAGCCGAAAGGUUGACCUAUCCCUGGAGGAAGGACGGGCUAAGUUCGUGCCAGCAGCCGCGGUAAGACGAACCGUCCUAACGUUGUUCGGAAUCACUGGGCUUAAAGGGCGCGUAGGCGGCUUGCCAAGUCAGGGGUGAAAUCCUGCAGCUUAACUGUAGAAGGGCCUUUGAUACUGGCAAGCUCGAGGGAGGUAGGGGUCGCUGGAACUUCCGGUGGAGCGGUGAAAUGCGUUGAUAUCGGAAGGAACGCCGGUGGCGAAAGCGAGCGACUGGACCUCUUCUGACGCUGAGGCGCGAAAGCUAGGGGAGCAAACGGGAUUAGAUACCCCGGUAGUCCUAGCCCUAAACGAUGGGUACUAGAUUGUAGACUUAACAUGGGUUUACAAUCGAAGCAAAAGUGUUAAGUACCCCGCCUGGGGAGUAUGGUCGCAGGGCUGAAACUC